GCAAGUUUUCUGGAGCUAAGAAGGUAUGCAUAUAAUGAUUAUAACGAGUGAUGAUGCUGAGAAAUUAAUGGAUUUCUUUUCUUCAAGUGAGUGCUACACAUAAUUACUCUUCUUCUAUACGAAUUAGUCUUUUGAAUUACCCUAUAUAUAAGGUUGAAUCUCAUAUUCCUCAACCCUUAACUAAAAAUUUCGGGUUAGAGCUCUGAGAAUGAAGUCGUUUUUAAUAAGAAAUACAUUAUCUAAAGUGAUAUUACCAUGCAUGAAUUCGAUUAACCCAUCCAAAUUAGUACUGGAUGGAUAAAAAAGAUAGUAUAAUCUCUAAACAAUUUUAAUUUGGUUGUAGUGUUACACCGCAACAAUGCAAAAGUGAUUUCUAAAUCACAGGCCACAAACAAAGUUUUGCAGAGGCUCCAAUAACACCCUUAUCUUUUUUGUUACCCCUACUGUUCUCCAUCUCUUACUAUAUAAAAAUAUCCUCAUUAUGGGACUUCGAUCUCACUUGUAAAUAACGGUGGAUUGAAGAGUUCAGAUGAAAGUGCAACAUUUUCUAUGUGUUUGAUUCUUUUUACAUGGCCACAUUGUGUACUUAAAUACUAGGAGAGGAGCCAAAGAUUCAAAGAAAGGCGGUAAAGGGUAAAUUAUGAGAAGGUGACGAGUGAUUUGGAGGAGAGAUGAACGGAAAAUGUUAAAAAGGGGGAAACACAUGGAAUAAAGAAAAUUUUGAAAAGAAGAUAAGAUAAGUUUUACAAAAAAAACUUCUUUAAUGAAGUGGUGCAACAUUUCUAAUAUUGUCGAGAGGAAAAAAAACUAAUUUUCUUUUCAUAAAAAUUCUGAAGUAAAAGAAAAUAGUUAUGUGGUGAUUGUAAUGUCAUGGCUACUUCUUUUUAUUUUUCCUUAAGAUUAUGUUGGGUUUUAUUUUUUAGUUUCGGUUUUAAAUAUAAGUUUGUGAAAUACUUUUGAGUUGAAAUUAUAUGCUUCACUUUUAGAUGGUGUGAUACCUUUCUAUGGAUAAUAUUGAUAUAUUUUUUUUUAUAAAAAUUAUGAUGUUUAUAUUAUUUAGUAGCAUAUUUGUGUGAUUUUUAAUUUUUGUAAUCGCGCGAAGUACAAAUAACUACACUAUUUAUAUAAGUAAGGAGCGCUUUAGAGGGAUUUACUGUGAGUCAUUUCACUCAGGAAAAAUAAAGAAAGGAUAAUCAAUUGUUUAAGUUGUCAAUAAUUUUUAAAAUAAAUAAUUUGAUUACAGAAAGGCCUAGUAAGGUCCGCUCGAGGUUAUCUUUCUCUUAAUUCAAUCAAUAGCAGCUGUAAAAUUGCUAAUCAAUAACCUAUUACGCGUACAUUUUACGGUACAAUUAUGUUAAAUUUUUCUCACCUCACCCUAAAAAGAUAAAGGAUAAAAUAAUUCAACAAAAUUGUCUUGUUUAGUACUUCGUCCAUCUUAAUUUACACUAGUAUUAUUCUAUUUUUCUUUUAUAUUUUUCAUGCAUUGUCUAUUAGCAAAGAAAAUUAUUAGUAGUAGUAGUAGUAUUUUUGAAGUCUACACUUGGGAUUAAUUUUCUAGCAUCGUCUGUAAACAUAUACCUGCACGAUUAAUUCCGGUUAAUUUAUCAAUAGAUAUCCAAGUUUCCGAGAAACUCAUUUUGUCUUUUGGGAGAUAUAUUUAUCUUUUAAUUCGUAGAGACUUGUUAAGUUGUUAUAAAAUUGUGUAAGGCAUUAAAUUAUAUGCAAUAAGACUUUAUUAGAGUAAAAUUUAUUGUAUGACUUGACCAUAAGCGUAAUUCCACAUUUAAUAAAAAAUAAAAAAAAAGUCAUGCCAAAAACAUAAGAAAACCAGUUGUCUCAUUUAUGUUUACCUAAAUGUUGAAAGCGAUAUAUGCGUAUUAGCAGGCGUAAUUAUAGCUAGCGAAUUUGUCCCAUCUCUUGGGAUUAUUUUAUACCAUCUUUUAGAUGGUAUAAAAUAAUCCCGGAAUAAGUGAGAUAAAAAGGGAUAUCCUAUAUUUUAAAUUGGGAUGCAUUUUAUGCCUUGUUUGGUACAAGGUAUAAAUUUAUCCAAAUAAAUUUAUAUCUUCUACUAAAUAUGAUACAAAAAAUUAGUGCUGGAAUAUCUCAGCUUAUACCCUGCACCAAACGACCCCUAAAAAGAGUACAAUAAAUAGGAGGGAGUAAGGUGCAAAAAAAAAUAUUAACCAAAAAAUGCAGGGGCCACGUCUAAUGGAAAUGAAGAAAAGGAAUUGACUGUUAAAGUGGAUAGUCGGGCAAAGAAAUGGCAGUGGCAGGCUAGCAGCCACGUGUGUAUCCUCAGCCAAUCAAAAAUCUUGUAUUGCAAUGUGAGGACGACAAAAUUCGGUGAUGUUCCGUUAUAUCUUUUACUUUUACUACUAUUAUAGAAGCACGGGUUGAAGCAGGAUCGUCGUCAUUCCGAGGGCAUUUCGGUCAUUUCACGCAUGCAUUUCAAUCUGAACUCUGAGCCGCCACGUAAUUCAUAUUCUCGACCCUUCUUCUUGGCAAGGCCAAGGUAGUCUGCUAAAGUACUUUUUACACAUUCUGUCUCUUCAUUGUUUCCAAUACCCAAUUGACCAUCUUCUCUAGAGGCCCCAAACAAUAAACACAUGUAUGUAUACAAUAAACAUAGUCAUUGCUUUGAUGAAUUGAAGGGGCUAAAAAAAGGUUUGAGUUGUGUUUGAAUAGCGUACCAAGGUGGUUCUGGAAGCCAUACUUUUGUGGGUGCUCUCAGUUUACUGUGUAUUUUUCGCUGCUAAGUAAGAAAUACUUGGAGCUUUCACUUUUUUUUUUACAGUUUGGUGGAAAUCUGAUUUCAAGAAUCGCAGUAGACUCAAUUCCCAUUUCAAUAUAGUGCUUUUUCGGGUGUUUUAUGUCACAGUUUUUACAAGGAACAGAUUACUCUUGCUUAUGGCAUCCGUAGCAAGCUCCAAUUUGCGGGUGAAGAAAUACUCAUCUACGUCGAUGCUUCAAUUUUGGGCAAGGGUAAAAGCAAAUAGUGGAAGAAUCUGAGUACUAUGAUGUUCGUGGUGUUCCUUCUGUAGCAUCUCCAGAAGAGAUAUGCAGAGUCUAUUAUCUCAAGGUGAGAGGUGACAUUCUGCAAGUACUUCCAUUCUGUGAUUAGAUGUUUGUAGUUGUGACAUAGUUUUCAUACCUGAGAAGAGUUUUCCUACUUUGGCAGCGACUAGAUCUCGUCCCACUUUUGCAUUCAUGGCCAAAAUCAACCAUUGGGACUCCGGCUUACAUUGCUCCAGAGGUCUUGUCCAAAAGAGAAUAUGAUGACAAGCUUUUCUGAUUCCUUGAGAUAGCUGUUUGCGUGGUAUAGAGAUUUUGGAAGCUGAAGAGUGGAGAUGUGUGAAUUUUCAGCCUCUAUACAAGUGAGAGUUAUCUUUAGGUGGAAUUCCCCCUCCCCCCCCCCCCCCCCCCCUAACUACCAAUGGCACUAAUAAGCUCAUAUGUAGGGGUUGGACAAGAUUACCAGUCUAUGAAGCUUAUUUUUGUUGGGGAACACCCUUUUAUGUUGGCUCUGUUGGCAGACAAAUAUGGUCAUUCAAUUGAAGCAUGGGACUAUUUGAAUGAGAACACAAGUAUGAACACAAUAUAGAUAUCUGCAUCUUUCCUUUCUUAUGUUAAACCAUAUCAACAUUAUUAAUUUGAAGGAGUGAAAAUAUAGAGCCUGCAUUCAGUGUGUGA